AUUUAAAUAGCUUAAUUAUAGAGCAUAGUAUUGAAGAUACUUAGGUGAUUAAUAUAAUCUUUAAAUA
rnacentral:tRNA from 1 species